AGCUGUGAUCCAGUUUAAUCUCAGCUGGCAACUGUGAGCUUUGAUCGCCUCACAGAGCCAACUAAGAUUCACCUGAACGCAACA
rnacentral:pre_miRNA from 11 species